GACGAACGCUGGCGGCGUGCUUAACACAUGCAAGUCGAACGAUGAUGCCCAGCUUGCUGGGUGGAUUAGUGGCGAACGGAUGAGUAACACGUGAGUAACCUGCCCCUGACUCUGGGAUAAGCGUUGGAAACGACGUCUAAUACUGGAUAUGACUGCCGGCCGCAUGGUCUGGUGGUGGAAAGAUUUUUUGGUUGGGGAUGGACUCGCGGCCUAUCAGCUUGUUGGUGAGGUAAUGGCUCACCAAGGCGACGACGGGUAGCCGGCCUGAGAGGGUGACCGGCCACACUGGGACCGAGACACGGCCCAGACUCCUACGGGAGGCAGCAGUGGGGAAUAUUGCACAAUGGGCGAAAGCCUGAUGCAGCAACGCCGCGUGAGGGAUGACGGCCUUCGGGUUGUAAACCUCUUUUAGUAGGGAAGAAGCGAAAGUGACGGUACCUGCAGAAAAAGCACCGGCUAACUACGUGCCAGCCGCCGCAGUAA
rnacentral:rRNA from 1 species